AAACAGUUCGAUGGAAAAAUACACCCGUACGCAUCUGCUCCUCUCCUCGAUCCUCACCUUUGCCCAGGCCGAUCUAUUCCCCCUCGCCGCCGCCACACCCCAGCCCCCUCGCCGUCGCGGCCGCACCUCAGCCCGCUCGCCCUCCCCAUCGCCGCCUUCGCGGUUGCAUCUCAGCCCGCUCGCCGCCCCCGUCGCAACCCAACCCUUCCUCCCCUCCAAUGGAUGCCGCCCCAACCACCUCAUCCAAUAGGAAGCCCCAGUUCGGCAGCCUCUGUUCCCGCCCUUCAGCGGCCACCUCGCCACCCCUCCAACGCCCAGCACGUCCUUAUCCAACGCCGCCCUUUAGCGCCCACCCAUCCGCCUGCCCGCCCGGCAACGCCCGAUUGAAUUGUUGCUGCCAAGAUCUGCCUCAAUGUGGUUUGCAUCAUUGCGGCGACGACAUCGUCGAUCUUCGACUCUGACGACUACAUCCAGAAGGACUACCAUAAUUCUCGCGGCUGAUGGCUGUGGAAAUUUGGAAAAUUUGCCUUUUCUAUCAAGAUGAGAAUCAACAACAUAAAGUUCUAGAAGGAUUCAUGGACAGAAAAGAUAUCUCCUUUUAUGAGUUAAUCAAAUUGACUAAAGAAGUUGGCUUCUCGCCGGCAUAUGGUUUCUUGUACUACAGGAAGAAAUACCCGCGUGGCAGAUGCUAUUCUGACAUUGCUUCUGACCAUGAAAUACUUUGUGUUCAGUCUUCCCCUGAAAGUUAGCAUAGGAAUACACAAUGUUUCUUCAGAAUGACAGAGCACCAAAUCGAGGCAGCAGGUUGCCAUCGAAUUCCACGGAAUAAAACUGACUUGUGGAUGUGAUUAAUCACUUACCAAAGUACAAGUUCAUUCUCUGAUGAAAAAGGUCAGUGUUUGGGGCGCACUGCGUAGCAAGGAUAUGUUGUAGGCUAUAUAGCUCUUCUGUGGACUGUGAGAGGUUGGGGUUCUCAUGCUUGCUUGGUCGGAACCUUUUCUUUUGAGUCGAUUGAUGGACGAUGGGCAUGAGGGCAUCUCUGCACUAACUACGCUGUAUGUGUACUCCACUACAUACAGAUAGCUCGCUCGUCGUAUCUCGACAGAAGAAGAACAACUUUGAUCGAUGGAGAUGGAUUUCUUUCCUGUUGUUGCGAUUGUAUGUGCCUUGCCGACUAAACUAUCUUCUUUCUUAUUUACUGUCAGGUAGCUCUUUCAAAGAUAGCUCGCUCGUCGUAUCUCGACAGAAGAAGAACAACUUUGAUCGAUGGAUAUGGAUUUCUUUCCUGUUGGUGCGAUUGGAAGCUAUUUGUGGUGUAAUAUGCAGCUAAAGGUAUUCCAGCAUGAGCUUCCAUGCACAACAUCAGUGCUUAAAGUAAAGGCUUCAGGACUUAAAAGUAAAGUACACCCAUGGCUUAACUUAGUUUCCUUUUCUUACAGAUAACUUGAUUCUCUUGUUACAGAUAACUUGAUUCUCUGCUCACAACCAACUGGAGCAAGAAAUAAUUUCACAGCAACAGAUCGCACCAAAGCAUAGCCAACCUUGGUCCAAGAAGAUAGAGAAGCACUGACAAGGUGGUUCGUUCGCAAGUUGGAGCCGUCCAUGAGCUCACUGCUCUUGGUCGCUCACAGCAAAGAACUGCAUGUUGGCUGGGAUCUUGCCCAUGUAAUAUCUUCAGUACUGUAAUGGCAGAUUGUACUUAUUUUUUUGCAAUUUUUUUUGGUGUUUAGGCCAUGCUUAUUGGGCCAAGAGGUAGACCCCGUAUAAUGCCGACCUGCUAAAUG